rnacentral:rRNA from 1 species
CGAACGGGUGAGUAACGCGUGAGGAACCUGCCUCAAAGAGGGGGACAACAGUUGGAAACGACUGCUAAUACCGCAUAAGCCCACGGCUCGGCAUCGAGCAGAGGGAAAAGGAGCAAUCCGCUUUGAGAUGGCCUCGCGUCCGAUUAGCUAGUUGGUGAGGUAACGGCCCACCAAGGCGACGAUCGGUAGCCGGACUGGGAGGUUGAACGGCCACAUUGGGACUGAGACACGGCCAG